GUUUAUUAUUUACUUCAUUUUAUAACUUUUAUGAUUUAUAUAUGUAGUGAAAAUUUAUAUAAAUUGUUUUUUUUUUUCCUUUAUUGUAUAGCACUUGCUCAGGAGGGUGAAAAUUCUAUGGAGGCGUCAAAUACAAUGUCUACAUCUAAUGCAAAUUCAUGAGCAUUUCGUUUGGUGGUGAAAGCUUUGACGGGAUCAAGUGUUUGCCGUUUAGAGAUCAUAUCUUAGUUAUUUGUUAUUUGUAUUAGUUAUUAUUUAGUCACUUGUAAUUCGUAAUAUCACUUUAUUAGUUAUUAUGGCUAGCAGCCUAGAUGCAUGGAUUGUAAAUUGUAAUAUUUUUUAUGUCCUUUGCUUAACUUUUUUUGGUUUCUUAUUUUUUUUCCCUUUUAUUUGGACUUUUGGAUGUUUAGUUGGCAUGUUUAGUUGGAUGUUUAGUUAAGAAUUA